rnacentral:rRNA from 1 species
AUUGAACGCUGGCGGCAGGCCUAACACAUGCAAGUCGAGCGGGGUUUUCGGACCUAGCGGCGGACGGGUGAGUAAUGCGUAGGAAGCUACCCGACAGAGGGGGAUACCAGUUGGAAACGACUGUUAAUACCGCAUAAUGUCUACGGACCAAAGUGUGGGACCUUCGGGCCACAUGCUGUCGGAUGCGCCUACGUGGGAUUAGCUAGUUGGUGAGGUAAUGGCUCACCAAGGCGACGAUCCCUAGCUGGUUUGAGAGGAUGAUCAGCCACACUGGAACUGAGACACGGUCCAGACUCCUACGGGAGCAGCAGUGGGGAAUAUUGGACAAUGGACGCAAGUCUGAUCCAGCCAUUCCGCGUGCAGGAUGAAGGCCCUCGGUUGUAAACUGCUUUGUACGGACGAAAAGGUUGUCUUAAUACGAUGAGCUCAUGACGGUACCGUAAGAAUAAGCACCGGCUAACUACGU